GGUGAAACUCAGUAGUAGAGUGCUUGCCUAGCAUGCAAGAAGACUAGGUUCAAUCCUUAGCUCUACCA
rnacentral:tRNA from 1 species